GAAACAACAACAUCCAUUCCUUGGCUCAAAUCUAUCAAGUUUGAUUGGAUAUGCAAAACUUUCCCAUAUAUUAGUAGAGCCCUUUGAAAAGGGUAGUUCACAAUCAUAGUAUGAUGACAUAUCAGAGGAAUGCUUUCAUGUACGACAUUAUACGAAUGAGUGUAAUUUAACCCUGACAUGAAACGGCUCCAAGGACAUCAAAGGCAACAAGAAAUGUCCCACACAUCCCAAUGUGGUCAUAACGGCACUUUUUGUGGAAACAACAAAAAAUAACUGGAAAUUGGGAGCAGCUGAGCAAAUGGUAAGACAAGUAAGUAAUGAAAUACCGCUGCACUCUAAGAAAUUACAAAUGAGAGGAAGUCAGAAAAAUUUGCAAAGGCUUGUGUGAACUGAUACAGAGCACAGAGGGCAGAGGCAGAAGAAAACUAUCUGCGAUGAUUACAAUUUUAAUGAAAAUGAUAUGAAAAAAAUGAAAUAAAGAAAAUGACCCUAAAAAUAGAAGCUCAGAUUCAUUAUCAUGACUGACAGUGGAUUCGUAGAACCUCUGAAGACACAGAUUUCUCCUGAACAGAAAGUACCAAGGUACCUUGGAGCAGGCUAUGGAGUCACCAUGUUUCCAUCUGAUGCCUGGGACACAGACCCACGUGGUAAUGGGAAGAAAUCAUGAGCUGAGUCCUGAUUCCAUUUGUAAUUGUAUAAAACCACAUGGGUCACCACUACAACCAAGAUUUAAAGGAAAGCAGAAAGCUGGGAAGCAGUUUUUAUAGCAAAU